rnacentral:rRNA from 1 species
AGAGUUUGAUCCUGGCUCAGGACGAACGCUGGCGGCGUGCUUAACACAUGCAAGUCGAGCGGAAAGGCCCUUCGGGGUACUCGAGUGGCGAACGGGUGAGUAACACGUGGGUGAUCUGCCCUGCACUCUGGGAUAAGCCUGGGAAACUGGGUCUAAUACCGGAUAGGACCGCAUGCUUCAUGGUGUGUGGUGCAAAGCUUUUGCGGUGUGGGACGAGCCCGCGGCCUAUCAGCUUGUUGGUGGGGUAAUGGCCUACCAAGGCGACGACGGGUAGCCGGCCUGAGAGGGUGACCGGCCACACUGGGACUGAGAUACGGCCCAGACUCCUACGGGAGGCAGCAGUGGGGAAUAUUGCACAAUGGGCGCAAGCCUGAUGCAGCGACGCCGCGUGAGGGAUGACGGCCUUCGGGUUGUAAACCUCUUUCAGUAGGGACGAAGCGAAAGUGACGGUACCUACAGAAGAAGGACCGGCCAACUACGUGCCAGCAGCCGCGGUAAUACGUAGGGUCCGAGCGUUGUCCGGAAUUACUGGGCGUAAAGAGCUCGUAGGUGGUUUGUCGCGUUGUUCGUGAAAACUCACAGCUUAACUGUGGGCGUGCGGGCGAUACGGGCAGACUAGAGUACUGCAGGGGAGACUGGAAUUCCUGGUGUAGCGGUGGAAUGCGCAGAUAUCAGGAGGAACACCGGUGGCGAAGGCGGGUCUCUGGGCAGUAACUGACGCUGAGGAGCGAAAGCGUGGGUAGCGAACAGGAUUAGAUACCCUGGUAGUCCAA